rnacentral:misc_RNA from 1 species
CAGAGUUGCAAAACUCCCUAAACCAUUGUGAACCUACCCCUAAACAGUUGCUUCGGCGGCGCCCGGACGGGCCCGCCGGAGACCACUAAACUCUUGUUUUUUAACACUGGCCUCUCUGAGUUUACUGUACUGUAAUAAGUCA